AUGGAUGGGAGCUUGCUCCUUGAAAUUAGCGGCGGACGGGUGAGUAACACGUGGGCAACCUGCCUAUAAGACUGGGAUAACUUCGGGAAACCGGAGCUAAUACCGGAUAAUUCAUAUCUACUCAUGUAGGUAUGAUGAAAGACGGUUUACGCUGUCACUUAUAGAUGGGCCCGCGGCGCAUUAGCUAGUUGGUGAGGUAACGGCUCACCAAGGCGACGAAGCGUAGCCGACCUGAGAGGGUGAUCGGCCACACUGGGACUGUUCCUCGGCCCAGGGAUCCUACGGGAGGCAGCAUCCUAUCUGNCAUUAAACUCGAGCCAUC
rnacentral:sRNA from 1 species